CCCGGUUUGUCACCGGCAGUCACCUUAGAGUGCCCAACUGAAUGCUGGCAACUAAGGUCAAGGGUUGCGCUCGUUACGGGACUUAACCCAACAUCUCACGACACGAGCUGACGACAACCAUGCACCACCUGUCACUCUGUCCCCCGAAGGGGAACCUUCUAUCUCUAGAAGUAGCAGAGGAUGUCAAGACCUGGUAAGGUUCUUCGCGUUGCUUCGAAUUAAACCACAUGCUCCACCGCUUGUGCGGGCCCCCGUCAAUUCCUUUGAGUUUCAACCUUGCGGUCGUACUCCCCAGGCGGAGUGCUUAAUGUGUUGACUUCGGCACUAAGGGCGUCGAAACCCCUAACACCUAGCACUCAACGUUUACGGCGUGGACUAC
rnacentral:misc_RNA from 1 species